CCUACGGGUGGCAGCAGUGAGGAAUAUUGGUCAAUGGGCGAGAGCCUGAACCAGCCAAGUCGCGUGAAGGAUGAAGGAUCUAUGGUUUGUAAACUUCGUUUAUAGGGGAAUAAAGUGAGGAACGUGUUCCUUUUUGUAUGUACCAUAUGAAUAAGCAUCGGCUACCUCAGUGCCAGCAGCCGCGGUAAGACGGAGGAUGCGAGCGUUAUCCGGAUUUAUUGGGUUUAAAGGGUGCGUAGGUGGUGAAUUAAGUCUGCGGUUAAAGUUUGUGGCUCAACCAUAAAAUUGCCGUUGAAACUGGUUGACUUGAGUAUAUUUGAGGUCGGCGGAAUGCGUUGUGUAGCGGUGAAAUGCAUAGAUAUCACGCAGAACUCCGAUUGCGAAGGCAGCUUACUCAACUAUACCUGACACUGCAGCACGAACGCGUGGGGAUCAAACAGGAUUAGAUACCCUGGUAGUC
rnacentral:rRNA from 1 species